UACUUGCCGAAGCAAUGAUUAGUCUCAUGACAUGAAAAUUUAGUAUGUUAUUGCCAGUAACCCUACUAAGAACAUAUGUAAAAGAAUUGUAACUUUUCUUUUCAAAAUAUUUCACAAAAAAAUUAUUUUACUUUUCUUCAUGGUCAGAGCCCUUUUAAUUCAUAACAGUUUAUUUUCUUUUUUUUUAAUUCUUAAUAAGAGCGUUGUAAUAAAACAAAGAUUCAUUUAAACAAUGGUUAGCUAAAACUGCGAAAUCGUAUUAUUUUGUAAGAAUUGACCGUGGCUAACACAAUAAGGAGAAGCUAUCCAUUUCAUUUUAAUUCAGCCACCCGUUUGGGAAAUGUGCUAAAGUUUUCAAUUAUAAAAAAAUCAGCUCUCAUUAAGAUGAAACAAAACCUUUGUACUGUUUUUUUCUGUAAAAAACAUCAAAUUUAUUAUUACUCUACGAAUAUUUUCAAUAUUAAAACAUUCCUGGUCUUUAUUUAGGAUUUUCUUUUAUCAUGCUAGCUCUUACAUUUAAAAUUGAAUAAUAAUACAGUCUGGUCUUCCAAAUCAACGCUGGCAUAAUGAACUUUUAUUCAGCCGCCGUCCCACAAUGAAGUUCGCCUCUUCUUAAGCCGAAAAAAUUGUUAUAUAGGCUAUAGACUAUAGAUUAUAGACUACUAGCCAAUAAUCCCGUGAAAAAAUCCACUUUGGCAAACAAUGGAAAAGAGAACCAUCAUUAGAAUGUUAAUGGCGUCUGCAAGGACCCGUUAAUACAUAAAAACGGAAAUUUGUUUACCUGUUGCCCUGUUGCAAAAAAAAUGGAAUGCUAAUGAAGAAAAUCAAGUGCUUUUGACGACUUGUUACAGAGAUAUGAGAAUUUAAAGGAUUUUUGAUGACGUCAGUAACCCGUCUGUCCAAAAUGGGUAGGAUUAUCCCGCUUUAAAAAGUUGGUCCUAAAUUUGGUAGUCCGUAGUUACUCACGCAGGAGAUGACGUCAAUUAUUUUCACCUGUUUCCAAGUUGUUAAACCUUAAAAUAAAUGCAUGUUCGAUUUUGAUACUUUUCGAAUCCAAGAUCGUUCGAUUUUAAACUUUUGUAACUUCACAAAACAAAUUCGAAUCGUUGUUAAUGUAAAUUGAAACGAAAAGAUGGUUUUAGGUGAGCUACUUUUAUAUUUUUUGUGUGCUAUGAAAAUGUUUUUUAUUUGUUUACGUUUUUAUGUCACCAUUUUUACCCGAACCGGUUAGUAUGGCUUCUAGAGAGACCUGUUAAAAUAAGCCGUAAGCCAAUCAAAUCAUUGGAUUUUUUCAUACUAACCGGUUUUUUGUGGCAGUCAGGUAAUAAUAAUACAGUAAUAACAGAUUUUCCCGGGAUGUACCGCAAAAUAUCGCCCGAGGUCUAAGUUCCAACCGAGCUUGCGAGGUCGGUGCAAUGACUAAGGGCAACAUUUUCGGUACAGCAUGCGGUAAUCGGUUAUUAUUGUAUUUGUUAACCGUCAAGUUAGAUAAAAUAAAAAAUAAGAAUUUUAUUUUUAGUGUUCUUAUAAUAAUAUAAUUCACUAGCACUACUAGGUCCAAAUUUGAAACAGUCCCGUCUAAAAACAAACAUUCUAUUUAUAAUCCGAAAGCCCCAAUAGAAUAAAACUUUGUAAACAAAGCAUUACGAUGCUUAACACGUACAGAAUAAUGUGCAAAGUUGAAUGCGCAGCUGAAAUAUAGUUCGACGAAUAUUAAAGUAAUUUUUUUAACUAGCUAGCUAGCCAAGAAUAACAUGAGCUUCAACGAAUUUUUUAUUGACUCGGUAACCACAAAGCUGCAGGAACGAAUCUGAAAAUGAGAGAUGUAUUUUUUUUUAUGAUUCCGUCGACCUGUAUUUAGUAUUUUUGAUAAAACUGGUUAUCAGAUCAUUGUUUUUUAUGGCAAUGUAGCUAGUUAAGUAGCCAUGUUGAAGAAGCAUCCAGACACAAUGUUGCUGAAUCUGGUUAUUUUAACUGUUAAACUUGACAUUGUUUUUUUUUCUAUCCUAUGAAAAUGUUUUUAUCAAUAAAUGAGUUAGAUGUAUAAUCAUUUCCAAUGCUUCUUAAUUUUUUUUUUCGUGCUUGUUUACAUUUUGAGCUACCAUUUUUCUUAACGAUGGGCAGUACCAUAAAAUAUCGGCCCGUCGUCGUCAGAAGCGCUAAACCAAUCAGAAUGCCUAAAAGCCCGUAUUGCCCGCUUGAAAAAUUUAAAAAUCAAAAUUAGGAGCAGAUGAAUUACAACAACGAUUCGUUCAAAAGCUAAGUGAAUUGUAGAUGAACAAACCGCUCACGAUUUGUUUCAAGUCACAUCUUGUGUCAAUGCAAUAAUGUUUAGCCAGUUUGCAGAAAAAUGGUUUCCAUAGUUUAAAGCCGGCGAUAAUUGUUCAGGAAAUGCCGAAAUAUAAAGUUCUAUGACAUUGGUUUCGAAAACAGGUUAAAUGAUAGCGCGAGUGUGAGAUAUUUGUUAUUGAUUUAAAACUACAAGAAUUCAAAGGAAGAAUGAAGCUAACUUUAAUUGCUUUAGACACCCCGGGGUUACAUACAACGAAGUCUGGGCACUAGUAAAAAGCUUGUAUGGACAAACAUUAUAUAAUGGUAGCGCAACAAGAAGAGAACAACAAAACAACUUAAACGCCAUCAUGACAUCAAAAUCAGAAGAUUAUCUUUAAUGGUUUAUGGACUCGGUACUUAUUAAGCACACGUAAAUAUUUUUUCGAGAUAAACGCAAUAUAGAACGACUUUCCACUACAAGGGAAGAAGAAAAUGAGAAUUUACAAGAUAAAUCACUGCUUUUACUUCAUCUAAUUUGUAUGAAAUUAUCAUGAAUAUAGUACUCUAAAAUUGAUUUUUAUUUAAUUUCAUUGAGGCGUGACAUAAACAAGCUUUGUUUUCUUCUCUUUAAUUAUAGCCGUAUUUUGUCUUUCUGUCCGCGAAAGAUGCGGUCCAUUACAGAAACACGAAAAUUUUAAAACAUGCACCAAUACCAAAUGCGACAUAUUAUUACCAACUUUGUUUUGACCGCUCGACGGAAACAUGCUACGGAGGCCAUUUUAGUUUGGAAGAGAUGGUGUCAGGAUUGCGGAUCUGUUUGAUCUUCUUAGUAUUUGUUUUCACAUGUUAAGACAUAUAUUUUUGCGCUUUUUACCCACGUUUACUAAAACUUAUUCCGCAAAAUAAAAUAAUAUUGCCCGAUUGUUUUUGCUAUGACGGAGUAACACGCUUUGUAAUUUUUAUUUCAGCUUUUGUUGCGGGAAAGUUAUUUUUUGAAAAAUAUGUUAAGGUCGCAACACUGUAAUGAUGUAUGAGCUUCAUUUCAUUUACGACAUACCGCAUACCUGUAAUAAAGCGCUGCACCUGACUGUGUCGCACAGUUUAAAAUACUUAUUAAGCGCUCCUUAGGGCGUUCAACAACAGUUACUUGGGACUUUACCCGGCGAUUCGAUGCCGGGCCUCCUGACUAGUCUUUUUGGUAAUAGACGUAUUCCGUCUGCCUGUCUCUGCGCGGACCCCCGCUGAGUUAGAACAUGAUGUUAUGGAAACACAAAUAUCAAAUGCAAUACAUUUAUUUCCACUUUGUUGCGACGGGUAAAUAUAAAGGGCGGGCGACCCCGUGGAUUUUUCCAUGGAUUAACGACUAGUCUCUAUAAUAAUACCCGUUUUCUGUUCGUCUUUCCGCAAGAAAAGUGUCGUGCAACGCGUACACGAAAUAGCGUGUAAUUAUUAAUGACAUAUACUAUAUGACAAUAUAUAUUUGAUCGUGAUGUUAACCAAUCAUAAUCGCGUUUUCAAUUGUACUAAGGUUAUGUAAACACGAAACAAACAUACAGAAGAGCGAGGAAGUAUUCAAGAAACAAACAUUGCAGGAAGAAAAUCUGAUAUCGACACAGACAAUUUUUUUCAACAAGCUUAAGAAUUUCGUCAAAAUUUUCUGCCGUUAUUUUCAAGAAAUUCUUAAUCAUUUUCCUCUUCUAAACGCAAUUAGCAGACCUAAGUCCCAUAAAGAUGGAGUUGUGAUCGCCCACUCCACCCCGGCUUAACCCAAUACUUUCUUUUCUUACUUCUUGACUUCUUUUGAGACAAUUAUUACAGCACCAGCCCAAGUACUCGUCGCAAAUGUUGAUGACGAAAAAGAAUGGGAAAGUAAAAUUUGAUGCGCAACAUAUAAUCGUGUAACACCAUUGCAUAUGAUGAGACAAGCAGGAGGUUUAUAUGAUCAUAUAUCAUAUGUCAUAUAAAAUUUGAUCGUGUAUAAGCGGCUUCUAAAAGUUUAAACAUCAAAAAUAUAUAUUCUUCUUUGAUUUUUAUCGGAAGAAAGACCACCUGUGCUUUCACUUUGCCAGGAUGUGGUUAUUAAGUUAAACAGGCAGGAAUCAAAUUUUAAUGUUUUUUGACGGGCGAACGGGGUCGUCCGCCUUUAAAUUACACGCUAUGUCGUGAGCCCGCUGCACGACGUGUUUUUUGCAGACAGACAGAUAGAAUACAGCUAUUAUUAUAGAGAUACAAUGACAUCGCAAGAAACGGAAUAGGUACGCGUUCUUAAAUUAUUUCUUUAAGAAACCUAUAAUAAUUUGGUUGAAGAAACAAGAAGUAAAUAUUUCAAAUUGGAUGCAGAUAAUAUUAUAUAUUAUUUAUUUAUAUUUGAGAUGUACUA